CAAUCAGCAGUUGUUGGCAGGUUGUAAGCAGGAGAGGAGAAACGAUGGUGUAGAUGGCUUCCAGUGGAGAAGCCACUGUCAUGGAGGUGUUCCUGUCGAGUCAGGUGUUAUCCUAAAGUGUCAUACGCUGUGGCUGCUGCUAACACACACAGUACCUUUGUGGAAUUAAAAAGGCACCUAUUCCUCGAUAUGUUACAUCCAUUGGUCAGAAAGCGUCAUAAUGGACUGAUUUUGUUAGAGCAUAACGCUGCUAUACAC